UACUACUGGAGCUGUUAACCGCCCUUAAUAUCUUCUAAGGCUCAUAUUAUUCACACUGAUAUAUAAAGAAAGCUAUCAUGAAUGCCACAACAGACCCCCAAGAUAUUCGACAAAUGAGACAAAUUCGAACUCGGAGAUCUUAUUUAUACCUUGGAAAGCUGUUGACAAUUAUGCACUUUACAGAUGUCAACUUUUCAAACCAAAGCUGUACUGGAAAGUUGAGGGUGUACUAAUUCUAGCAACCUUCGGAUAGCUCACAUUGCCAAUGAAGGGCAGAGAGCCCUCAUUUAGCCAAUUUUAUACCAUGCACCUGGGUCCGAUUUGAAACACAAAGUGAACUGGAAGGAUAGAGAUUCGAAAUCUUGGGGUUCUAGUAGGUUUCUUGAAAUUGUAAUGGCUUCUGGGCACGGACAGGCCCUUAACCACUUGACCAAAAAGGUCAUAUACAAUAACAGGCCGCUCUUAUUGGAACCCGAACCCUGUUUCUAGUUAACCCCUCUGGGGGAUGCCUCAGCCCUCAACCUAGGCAUUACGGAAAUACUUGGACAAGUUAGAUACACCCUGGUUGUGAUAUUUAUAGUAUGUGUUGAAUACAGCGUAAACUCAAUAUGAAAAGAGGUGUGGAGAAUCUGCAGCUGAGCCGCAGAAACCUUUGAGGG
rnacentral:sRNA from 1 species